rnacentral:rRNA from 1 species
AAUGAACGCUGGCGGCAGGCCUAACACAUGCAAGUCGAACGAGACCUUCGGGUCUAGUGGCGCACGGGUGCGUAACGCGUGGGAAUCUACCCUUGGGUUCGGAAUAACAGUUAGAAAUGACUGCUAAUACCGGAUGAUGACGUAAGUCCAAAGAUUUAUCGCCCAAGGAUGAGCCCGCGUAAGAUUAGCUUGUUGGUGGGGUAAUGGCCUACCAAGGCGACGAUCUUUAGCUGGUCUGAGAGGAUGAUCAGCCACACUGGGACUGAGACACGGCCCAGACUCCUACGGGAGGCAGCAGUGGGGAAUAUUGGACAAUGGGCGAAAGCCUGAUCCAGCAAUGCCGCGUGAGUGAUGAAGGCCUUAGGGUUGUAAAGCUCUUUUACCAGGGAUGAUAAUGACAGUACCUGGAGAAUAAGCUCCGGCUAACUCCGUGCCAGCAGCCGCCGUAA